AUGGUCAGCGUCAUCGAGAUCUUCCUGUUGUCCCUGGAGAUCCUGAACCGGCCCAUGACCGACGGCACGUACGUGGUUUUUGGGAAUUUUGGAAUCAGCUGGUUCUGCCAGAGACCCGGGCAGGGUUUGGAAUACGUCGCGGGGAUCCAUAGCAGUGGCAGCACCUUCUACGCGCCAUCGUUCAGGGGCCGGGUCCGGAUCUCGAGGGACAACGGGCAGAGCUCGCGGGCGGCCGUGACCCUGCUGGAGUGUGGGGGGGACCUCCAGCGCCCCGGGGCAUCCCUGCGCCUCCUCUGCCGAGGGUCCGGGCUCGAUUUUGGGGAUUAUGGAAUGUACUGGAUCCGCCAGAGACCAGGGCAGGCGCUGGAAUACGUCGCAGGCAUCUACUACAACAGUGCCAACACCUUCUACGCGCCAUCGGUCAAAGGCCGGUUCACGAUCUCCAGGGACAACGGGCAGAGCUCGGUGACGCUGACCAUGAACAACCUCAAGGACGAGGAUCCCGCCAUGUAUUUCUGCGCGAAGUGUGCUGCUAAUAAUUACCGUGAACAUGCUGCACGGUCACGGCCGCCCGGAGCCCUGCGAGACAAAGGGGAUAUGGGGAUGGGGCCAAAGCUCAACACUUGA